GAUGAACGCUAGCUACAGGCUUAACACAUGCAAGUCGAGGGGCAGCAUGGUCUUAGCUUGCUAAGGCUGAUGGCGACCGGCGCACGGGUGAGUAACGCGUAUGCAACUUGCCUAUCAGAGGGGGAUAACCCGGCGAAAGUCGGACUAAUACCGCAUGAAGCAGGGGCCCCGCAUGGGGAUAUUUGCUAAAGAUUCAUCGCUGAUAGAUAGGCAUGCGUUCCAUUAGGCAGUUGGCGGGGUAACGGCCCACCAAACCGACGAUGGAUAGGGGUUCUGAGAGGAAGGUCCCCCACAUUGGUACUGAGACACGGACCAA
rnacentral:rRNA from 1 species